CUCUUAAAAUAGUACUGGUCCUGUAGCAAUCAGGAUGGAUGGAACAUCAACCAGAGCAGGACCACACAUGUGCUCUGACCAGGUUCUCUCCCCAGGUCUGGUUUUCAAAUGCUGGUGAUAAGC